GUGAGGAAUUUUCCGCAAUGGGCGAAAGCCUGACGGAGCAAUGCCGCGUGAAGGAUGAAGGCCUAUGGGUUGUAAACUUCUUUUCUCAGAAAAGAAUUAUGACGGUAUCUGAGGAAUAAGCAUCGGCUAACUCUGUGCCAGCAGCCGCGGUAAGACAGAGGAUGCAAGCGUUAUCCGGAAUGAUUGGGCGUAAGGCGUCUGUAGGUUGUUUAAAAAGUAUUCUGUCAAAGAUUAGGGCUUAACCCUAGAUAGGCAGAAUAAACUUUUAAGCUAGAGUUUGGUAGAGGCAGAGGGAAUUCCCGGUGGAGCGGUGAAAUGCGUAGAUAUCGGGAGGAACACCAAAGGCGAAGGCACUCUGCUGGGCCAAUACUAACACUGAGAGACGAAAGCGAGGGGAGCAAAUGGGAUUAGAAACCCGGGUAGUCC
rnacentral:rRNA from 1 species